UGAGAAGUAGCAGAUUCCAGGAACCGUCC
rnacentral:piRNA from 1 species